UGUAUACUAUUGGUAGCACGGAGACCUUUGUGCUACCAAGUUGUUUUUAAUAAUGCGGCUUCCAAAUCGACGAUCGGCUCCGUUACACUUGAUCUACACUAUUGAUAGUAUUUGAAAACUAAAUUUCAUAAUUUUUCGGUAUCAUUUAUCUAUCAAACGAGUAGUCUAAAAAUGAACGACUAGAAAUAAAAAACUAAGCGCUUGGUGCUAUUAGGUUAUCAGUCCUUGGAUGAAAAAGGUGUACGGUUACGAUGAUGUGGCCCCCUAGGAUUGAGUGAGUUAUUGGUUGAAUAGUAUAAUCUAACGGGUUAAAAUAGUCAAAGGGUUAAAUCUAAUGGCAGAAAACUCAGUAGUACCAAGCGCUUGGUGCUAUCGAUAGUAUCCCAGCCGGACACACACACACACACACACACACACUCUCUCUCUCUCUCUCUCUCUCUCUCUAUAUAUAUAUAUAUAUGCAAAGAGAACACCAUAUUGAUAAUAUAUAUACAAUACUAUUUAUAGUACUGAAGUUUCGAUACUAUAGCCUCAUUUUCAAGCUUAGAAUGUUCAACUCAACGAUCCGCACUGUUUAUAUGAUUUAGGGUAUAUGAAUAGGAAUAAAAUUUUAAUUUUUUUGACAUUGUUUACUUAAUAAUUAAAUCAUGCCAAAAUGAACAGUAAAUAUUAAAUAAUCUUUAAAAUUUGAGGAUAAAACUUUUGAAUUCAAGAGUAAGGAUGUAGACCUUGAUCUAAAUAGUUUAAAAAAUUUAGGCUAAAUUACAUAAAACCCCCUUGUCGAAACCUGAUUUUUUACUUUUCCCCCCUGUCAUUUAAAAACCUAUACUUUGCCCCCUUGUAAAAUGAAAAAUGUUCACUUUGCACGCCCCCUGCCGUUAGUAAUCCGUUAGGGUUCCGUUUAUAAAAUAUUAUUAUAUUUUUUUUUAUGCCAAAAAUGCCCUCAGCUUUCUCUCCUGUGAACAUAGUGAGGGGCAAAAUGGUCAUUUUAUCAUCACAGUUCACACCGUACCCCCCUGUGAACAUUUUUCAUUUUAUAAAAUGUAGGUUUUUAAAUGACAUGGGGGGAAAGUGAAAAAUCGAAUUUUGACAGGAGGGUUUUCUGUAAUUUAGCCAAAAGUUUACUUACAAAAUUUGAAUAAAUCUAGAUUCUUUCACACCACUAAACUACAAACUCGCCAUAGUAGUCAUUGAAAAUUGACAAUUUUGAAAUGCUUUGAUCAUAAAGUAAGUUAUAUCGAAAAAUUAUAAAAUGUUAUAUCUAAAAACUUCAAGUACCCUAAAUCAGUUUUAAUAGUGUUACUGGUUGAUUUUAACAUUCUAAGAUUGAAAACAAUACUAUAAUACUGGAGCUCCAGCAU
rnacentral:lncRNA from 1 species